rnacentral:lncRNA from 1 species
CACAAAACCACAUCCAAAACAGCCAUUUCAUAGGCUGUGGUCUCUCGACACGGAGGCCCACUCAGCCAAGAAGACAAGCUCCGUUGAGUCCUUCUCCAAGAAGGACCAAGAGCACCAGAGAAGGGCCGGCCGGCAGCCCUGUGAUGAGAAGCACUCUGGUGGCGCACCCAAGCUGCAAGGACCGUGUCAUGAUCGAUGGGCAAUGCCUGCCACAGACUUGGGGGCUGCAGAGGCACAGGUUCCCCCGAAUCAGACACCAUAUGUCUACUUCAGAGCAAAGUGUAUUCAGUCAGUUAUUUACUUGGACUCCUAAAGCAAGAUGGUAGUAGAAGUUCUUUCUGACCCUCCUAGAGCACAGGACCCUUCUAGAAUCAGGUUCCUCUGGUCUUGGGCCUGGUGUCUCAUUCCUUUUAUUUGGGUCAAGACAUGUGCUUCUGUUGAGCAUUUGACACAGACCACUAAGAGCGAGCCCUGAUAUGAAAUGGGGGCCUAUUCUGCCUAGAGCAGGGGCAGAGCCUGUCUGAUUUCCCUCUCCUGAAACUGGGGACUCUAGGAGGACUCAUUAGGAAUGUUUUUGUUGUUACGUAAGUGAAGGAAAGCUGACUUGAAUUAGCUCAGGCAAAGGUUGAGAGUAAAUGGUAGUGAUACCCCACCAAAAAAGUCCUGUGGAAUCCCCUGCUACAGCCUCAGGGGCUGGACAACAAGCACACAUGCAAAGUCGUCUUGCCUGGCACACAAAGGUGUUAUAAAUCAUUCUGGAAAUACAUCACCCUUAAGAAACCCUUCAAAAGCACAGGGGUAGUAAUUUGGAGUCUUUGGGGCUUAAAGAAAUACAGUGUCACACUUUUCAGGCUCAAAGCCUCCCAUUCAUUGGAGACUCAAUGAAGAAAAACAGAGAGCCUGGCAUGGUGGGUGCCUGUAGACCCAGCUACUCAGGAGGCUGGGGCAGGAGGCCCUCUUGAGCCCAGGAGUUUGAGCCCAGCCUGGGCAACAUAGUGAGACUUGAGAAAAAGGAGGAAGGAAGGAAGGCAGGCAGUGGGGAGGGAGGGAGGGAAGGAAGGAAGGAAGGAAGGAAGGAAGGAAGGAAGGCAGGCAGGCAGGCAGGCAGGCAGUGGGGAGGGAGGGAGGGAAGGAAGGAAGGAGGGAAAAUGAUCAGAGAAUAGGGGUUUGACUGCUAACUUGAACAUCUGAGUGAGUAAGCUAUUCGAUCUCUAAAUUUCCAUGUCCAAAUUUUGGCUAUGGAAGGAGGGAAGGAGGGAAGGAGUGGGAGUGGGGAGGGGAGUUGUGAUGUUGCCUUGUGAUGGGAGUGGAGAUCUCAAUGUGCCUGAAGAGAGGGUCAGGAUGCAGUCAGGCCUCAGUGACCUCUGUCCUGGCAGGACUCUUCUGCCAUCUGGAGUCUAGUUCACUCUGUCAUUGGCUUCAGACACUCUGUCAUUGGCUCUUCUAGAUAGCCAACAUAUCUCCAUCAGCUCCUGAACCUCCAGCUCCCAAUCAGGGGCACUGACUCCGUCCCUUCAUUCCAACUCAGAAAAGUGCAGGGAGGGGUUCUCAUUGGCCUGUCUUGGACAAGGAGGCCCUCUGGACUGACCACCAUGGCAGCGCUGAAGUGGUCUGGUUGGCCUGACUUGGGUAUUAUGCGUACAGCUGGAUCAUGUAGCUAGGGCAAGGGGCAGGUUUGAGGACCCAGAGCUGCUUCUGGAGGCCCACCCCUAAGUAUCAGGCCCUCUAGGAAAAGAGCAGAGUGACCACUGGUCACCCCUCACUGUCACCACCACCCCACAAGUCUGGACUGGGCACGGGAAGGGGUGGAGAAACCCUCAGCUUUAGAGUGGGUGAAAGGAGUCGAAACCAUCAGAGCCCCAGGGGAGACUCAAAGUAGCGGCAGGAGCAGUAAUGAUAGCAAAAACAGUGCCAUUCAUUGAGCACGUAUCUUGUGCCAAGCACAUAGAAAGCACUUUACACGUGCUAUUUCUAAUCCUUGCAGCAGCCUUGCAUGGUAGGUGCUAUUGGUCCCGUUUUGCAGUAAGAAAAUUAAGACCCACAAACUUUAUGAGAUGCUUCUAUAGCCUCAGAGCUCAUAAAUGCCAGAAAUGGUGCUUCCAUGAAGGGCCUGGGAAAGGGAUGAAGCAGGAUGAAGACAGUUGCUCAGGAGGUCACUUAAUGCUCCUGCGACUCCCUGUGGCAAAGGGACUCAGCGAGAAAGAGCCUUUUUGGAGGGAUUGUGCAGGGUCUCUGGUGGGGGAGGGAGCUGUAAGAAAAAGGCAGCCCAGAGGGAGACUGUGUGCUGGACUGGACCUGGAAAGUUUGGUGAGGACCACAGGUUCUUGGAUUGCCUGGGACUGUCCUGAUUUCACCCGGUAUUUUGACAUAUGUGAUAAUGGCACCCCUUUCAUUCACAAAAGCAGUGGUGUGCUGGUGAAUGUAUAAAAUAGGGUUUCAAAUACAUAUAUACACACACAUAUGCAUAAUAAAAUAAUACAUAUUGCAUAUACAUAUACAAUAUGCAGUAUAUAUUAUUGUCUUAUGCAUAUAUGCAUAUACAUGUAGUAUGUAUAUACCAUAUAUAUACAUACAAUGUGUGUGAAUAUAUGUCUAUGUAUACAUAUAUGCAAUAUGUAUUGUAUUAUGUAUAUAUGCAUACACAUAUAGUAUGUAUAUACUAUAUAUACACUAUAUCUAUACAUACAGUAUGUGUGUGUGAAUAUAUGUGAAUAUAUGUGUAUGUAUAUGCAAUGAACUGAAUGUUUCUGUCCCCCAAAAUUCACAUGUUGAAAUCCUGACCCCCAAAGUUAGGAGAUGAGGCCUUGGGGAGGUGAUUAGGUCAAUGAAGGUGGGCUUUCAGGAAUGAGAUUAAUGCCCUUAUAAAGGAGAUCCCAGAGACUCCCUUGCCCCUUCUGCCAUGUGAGGACACAGAGAAAAGACACCAUGUAUGCACCAGGAAACAGGCCCUCAUGAGACAGAGAAUCUGCUAGUGCCCUGAUCCUGGGCUUGCUUCCCAGCCUCUCGAACCGUGAGAAACACGUUUCUGUUGUUUCUAGCCCAUGCAGUUUAUGGUAUUUUGUAAUAGCAGUCUAAAGGGACUAUGACAAUAUAUACACACAUACAUACACAUAUUUGAGAUCAAGGCUGUGUAAUACAUGAUUUACAAUCAAUAAUAAAAUAUAUGCUUUUCUUUAAUGUAAAUUUCACAUAGCCAUCGAUUCUCAUAGAAUACAAUUCUGUGAAAAUUUUUGGUUGAUUUUUGCUAAAACCUUGUAUUCUUAGUCAACUUGUGGUUGUAAUUCAACCAUGAUUUGUCAAAUGGAGAUGCAUUCCAAUCUGCUAAUUCUUUUCCCAAUAAGUUUAUUGUUGCUAAAUCUGAUAUGUGCGCUAACGUUAAACAAUUUCUCAUCCUCAUGAAAAUCAUUUUCAUUAAACAGAAACCUCUUUCAGCUGCAGCGCUACUCACUACAAUCAUGCUGCCUUCAUAGAGUUGCAGGAAUCACAGCAUCGUCUCAGUGUGCAUUAUUUAAUAAUGGAUGCGCUUCAUACCUGGCUGCAGAAAAUUGAGUGAUCAGCUCAUUGUGCAUUGCCAUGAGCAGCCAGGACAACCACACUGCUGUAAGAGGGUCCUAUUUCUGCCAAUAAACCAUUGGCUCACCCUACUUUUAGAAGCUCGAAUCUACUCCCUGUAACUGCAGUGUUGGUGACUGUGACACUGUAUUCUUAAGGCACCAGUCAAGGGGAGAGUGGGGGGAAGAAAAGGCUAUGGGGUGGGAGCCUGGCAUCCUGUCUGUGACCUGGGCUCUGUGUAACCUGUGCUUGCAGACUUGUAAACCGCUCCUCACGGGUCAACAGACGGGGCCACUGAAGGACAGCAUAGGAGGGGCUGCCCCUGGGAGCCACGUGGACUCUCUAAGGGCUGCAGCCUCUCACCUUCUUAAAGCCAGGGAGAAGACGUUCUCACAACUUCCUGUACUUGGAAAGAAUCUGAAGAGUCUGGCUCUACGUAUAAAACCAAGUUUAUUUCACAUUUUUAGAAACCUCACGGUGCAGGGAAAAUGAUCAGAGAAUAGGGGUUUCGACUGCUAACUUGAACAUUUGAGUGAGUAAGCUAUUCAAUCUCUAAAUUUUCAUGUCCAAGUUUUGGCUAUAAAAUGGAAAUAACAAGGACACAUAUACUUAAAGCAUGCAAUUAUGCGUUAAGUAGCAAUCAAGUUGUAGCUAAUUAAAAAUUGAAUGA